UACGUAGGGUGCGAGCGUUGUCCGGAAUUAUUGGGCGUAAAGGGCUCGUAGGCGGUUUGUCGCGUCGGGAGUGAAAUCCACUGGCUUAACUGGUGGCUUGCUUUCGAUACGGGCAGACUGGAGGUAUGCAGGGGAGAACGGAAUUCCUGGUGUAGCGGUGGAAUGCGCAGAUAUCAGGAGGAACACCGGUGGCGAAGGCGGUUCUCUGGGCAGUAACUGACGCUGAGGAGCGAAAGCGUGGGGAGCGAACAGG
rnacentral:rRNA from 1 species